rnacentral:snRNA from 1 species
UUGCUCACUUCGGCAGCACAUAUACUAAAAUUGGAACGAUACAUAGAAGAUUAGCAUGGCCCCUGCGCAAGGAUAACAUGCAAAUUCAUGAAGCAUUCCAUAUUAAA